AGUGAACGCUGGCGGCAGGCCUAACACAUGCAAGUCGAACGGCAGCACAGUAAGAGCUUGCUCUUACGGGUGGCGAGUGGCGGACGGGUGAGGAAUACAUCGGAAUCUACUUUUUCGUGGGGGAUAACGUAGGGAAACUUACGCUAAUACCGCAUACGACCUACGGGUGAAAGCAGGGGAUCUUCGGACCUUGCGCGAUUGAUUGAGCCGAUGUCGGAUUAGCUAGUUGGGGGGGUAAAGGCCCACCAAGGCGACGAUCCGUAGCUGGUCUGAGAGGAUGAUCAGCCACACUGGAACUGAGACACGGUCCAGACUCCUACGGGAGGCAGCAGUGAGGAAUAUUGGACAAUGGGCGCAAGCCUGAUCCAGCCAUACCGCGUGGGUGAAGAAGGCCUUCGGGUUGUAAAGCCCUGUUGUUGGGAAAGAAAAGCAGCAGGUUAAUACCCCGCUGUUCUGACGGUACCCAAAGAAUAAGCACCGGCUAACUUCGUG
rnacentral:rRNA from 1 species